rnacentral:siRNA from 1 species
CGCUCAAUGAGUGACAUCGACAAA